UUGCUUAAACAGCAAAUACACUAAAAUUGGAAUGAUAUAGAGAAGAUUACCAUGGCCCAUAUAUAAAGAUGACAUGCAAACUUGUGAAUCAUUCAAUAUUUUU
ensembl:snRNA U6 U6 spliceosomal RNA